UUAAGGGUUAAUAAUGGCCAUAUAUAUUUGUAUCUUUUUAGUUUUCCUUCUUUAAUAGUCAGUUAGCUUUGUCUCUUCAGAUCAAAGCUAUAAUCAUGUAUACACUAUUUAUGACUAUGAUCAUACAGCUGUUGCUUUUGCUUUGUUGCGGUAUUUCCAGCUUUUUCACUCGACAACUAAAAGAAACGAAGUGAAGAGCUUGCAAGUGCACCUGUGGAAAAUUUAGAGCAAUGCAGAAGGUAAUGUUUUUUUUCUUUUGCUAAAUGCAGAAGGUAAUGUUGUGGCAGUAUCUAAUGGAAGUACUACUUUGGUGCCCAAAUCCUCCAUUGCGCGUAGUUUCAAAAUUGUCCAGUUUGCUGUAUUUUCUACCCAUGUGGCCUCUUUCAACAUAGCGGUCACUUGGUUUACCCUUUGCGAGUAUUCAAUCGUUUUCUAUUCCGGAACCAGUUUAUCGAAAAGUUGCACAUAAGUAAGGUAUUACCGCAGCAGUGUUGUUUAUUGAUUUAUUGUUUUGUGGGAUACCUGCGCAGCGGCCGCAGUGUUCUGAAUCUAAAUAGUUAAGUCUGGUUUUUAAUCACAUGGGAUAGCUCUUCGUGUAUAUUUCAUGUUGCUCGAUGUUGCCUUACUUUCACAUGAUGCCUUGAGAUCUGCUGUAAGCUAUCUCUUCGCGAGGCUUGUGAUAACCUCUAUACCUUCACAAAAUGUGGUCGACAUAUUGGUGUUUUAUUUGGAGUUAGUGACACUACACCAUAUUUCACCU